rnacentral:rRNA from 1 species
CCUACGGGUGGCAGCAGUCGAGAAUCAUUCACAAUGGGGGAAACCCUGAUGGUGCGACGCCGCGUGGGGGAAUGAAGGUCUUCGGAUUGUAAACCCCUGUCAUGUGGGAGCAAAUUAAAAAGAUAGUACCACAAGAGGAAGAGACGGCUAACUCUGUGCCAGCAGCCGCGGUAAUACAGAGGUCUCAAGCGUUGUUCGGAAUCACUGGGCGUAAAGCGUGCGUAGGCUGUUUCGUAAGUCGUGUGUGAAAGGCGCGGGCUCAACCCGCGGACGGCACAUGAUACUGCGAGACUAGAGUAAGGGAGGGGGAACCGGAAUUUUCGGUGUAGCAGUGAAAUGCGUAGAUAUCGAGAGGAACACUCGUGGCGAAGGCGGGUUCCUGGACAUUAACUGACGCUGAGGCACGAAGGCCAGGGGAGCGAAAGGGAUUAGAUACCCUUGUAGUC